rnacentral:rRNA from 1 species
CCUACGGGAGGCUGCAGUGAGGAAUAUUGGUCAAUGGGCGCGAGCCUGAACCAGCCAAGUCGCGUGAGGGAAGACGGCCCUACGGGUUGUAAACCUCUUUUGCCGGGGAGCAACGUGCGCCACGUGUGGCGCCACUGAGAGUACCCGGAGAAAAAGCAUCGGCUACCUCCGUCCCAGCGGCCGCGGUAAUACGGAGGAUGCGAGGGUUAUCCGGUUUUAUUGGGUUUAAGGGGUGCCUAGGCGGGGCGUUAAGUCAGUGGUAAAAUUGAGGGGCCAAACCCCUUCCCGCCAUUGAAACUGGCGCUCUUGAGUGGAAGAGAGGUAUGCGGAAUGCGUGGUGUAGCGGUGAAAUGCAUAGAUAUCACGCAGAACCCCGAUUGCGAAGGCAGCAUGCCGGAUUCCGACUGACGCUGAAGCACGAAAGCGUGGGGAUCGAACAGGAUUAGAUACCCCUGUAGUC